rnacentral:rRNA from 1 species
GUCAGCAAUGCCGCGUGGGUGAAGAAGGCCUUCGGGUUGUAAAGCGCUUUUGUACGGGAAGAAAUCAUUGGGCUUAAUACCCUGGGUGGAUGACGGUACCGUAAGAAUAAGCACCGGCUAACUUCGUGCCAGCAGCCGCGGUAAUA